GCAUCACAAACCAUAUUGCUGUCAUCUUUAUCUUAAUUUUUUUUUGUCCAUUUGUCCGUAACAUCGUUGAAUAUAUAUACAGUUAAUUACAUACAAUGGCAUUGCAUUGUUGUAGAAGAGAAUUAUUUUUCCCUUCUAAAGAGACACACACACAAUUUUAAGAAAGAAAAAAAAAAGAAAAACAGGCAAGUCUCUUCGUCCUCCUCUGGCUCCGAUCCUUUCCGUCCGUGGAAAACGAAGGAACCCCGAGCAGGGAGAAGCGCGGGCACACGGCAAGCCGGAGCCAUCCGCUCCGAUCGAUCAGCUCAUCUGGUCGCUGAGCUGCGACGGGCUCCUCCAGAAGCCAGCGCCCUGGAACCUCGCCCACACCUCCUUCUCCAGCUCCCCCGCCUCCUCCGACGGGGCCACCGCCGCGGGCCGCGCCACUGCCGCCUCNNN
rnacentral:lncRNA from 1 species